rnacentral:misc_RNA from 1 species
AUCACCCUCCAUAAGUCUAAGUUACUGAUAUCUGUUUAAGGUAAUACUAUUACAUAUCGAAAUACGAAGAGAUGUGGGCAGUGAGGACUACUAGUAGAUCUUAUGUUAUCUACAAAAUUGUUUGUCAGUGGUGCUACUGCUACACACACUCCAUAUUCAGGUAGUCACCAGAGGAGCAGCUGCUUUAAAUGGAAGCAUACAAGAGUAAGUGACAUACUUGACACUGUCGAUCAGCACAACAACAAAUAUCCGAGAAAGGGACUUGGGACCCAUUAUGCCAUCACCAUCAGCAUCACCUGCCUCUCUUGGAUCAACCAAAACAGACACUACCAUGGAUGAUAGUGACUUGUUCCCGGUGAAGUUCUCUUGCUUUCCAGCUGUUCCACUUUGUUCUUCAGAAAUGUUAUGAGAGGGUCUAGAAAGGGAAACAGGAGUACCAUUGAGGAUCCUUCUAUUUCUGUGGAUGCGUGUGGCAUUCUGCCUUUGUUCCAUAGAAAUAUUUCUACCGUUGGUAGCACGAACUAUGGCCCCUGGAGCAGAUGAUAGAACAUCAAACUGGAACACUUCUGUACACAUGCCUGAACUCAUCAAAGGUCCGGCAACACCUUCAAGGUACCACUGCUGCAUAGUUGACUGCACAUUCUCCUUUUCUACAGUCCCAAGAGCCCUUUGUCCCACUGCAGAACUUCGAUAAAGGCGAGGAUGGCUUCCGGGGAUAGCAGGGGCUAAAUCUCCAGGAACUGCAAGGCCUGUCUCUCUAUUGUUCUUAUCAGAACCUCCAUGAGAUGCCAUGGCUUUCUCACUUGCUAAUACAGACUGAAUAAUCAGGUUCCCGUCAAUCUUAACAAGUUUAUCAUUCCUCGGGACAUACAAAGAGGCUGCUAGAGGGUUACUACCAUUGCCCAUGUGAACAAACUCAUCCGCAGCCUUGUAGGUGUUUUGCUGAUUGCUUUCACUGUGGUCGCCCCGGCCACAAUGUGAGCUAUAAUCUUUUUCACUGUACUUCCCGGAAUACCCAGUCCCAUUCACCGGCCCAUCCACAACCAAAACUCUUCCAUGAUGUUUCUCGUAGAAUCCACUCCCAACAGAAAAUCCACCCAAAAAUGGCUCCCUCGUACCUCCAUAUCUCACAUUCAGUAAAGGAACCAACCCACCAAAGAGCAGCAUGAAGAAAAGCACGCCAAGUAAGCUAAUACUGGCAACCUUUUUAGUUUUUACCUCACUCUUCUUUUUCUCCCCUUUCUUGGUACUCUUUGGCGCAGGCGCUGCUGCCUGUGGUUUCAACUUGGGAAUAGGAACCAAUGGCACUUGUGACCCUUGUGGCUUCAUCAUAUAAGGUGGGGGAUAUGACAUCCAUGGAUACACCAUAGAAGGAUGGGGAUACAUCCCAGGGGGUGGCUGCACUUGAGGAGGUACACCAGUACCCCCAAGCUGUGUCUUAAGAGUUACAUUUUCCGCCAUUACGUAGGAUAUCUUAGCAUUCAAGUCUUGAAUUGUUGAAUGCAUUAUUCUAACUUUAUCCUCUAAUUCCUCAACAUAAUGCUUCUUCCUUUGUCUUGACAAGUGAGCACUUUCCCUAUUCCUAAUUAGUCUAGCCAUCUUCUUUUCGUCCUCAUCAUUAUUAACAUUAUCACUAAGGGAAAACAUACUGGAUUUUUGAUGUUUACUUGCGUUAUUCAAAUCUUCACCACCCUUUUUCCUUUUCAAUAAAGAGCUACUACAGUUACUUAUAUUAGCACUGACACCCUCUAAUUUAAAUUUAUGUUCUACAGUUCCACCUUUAACUGAAUUACUUCCUAAAUUGGGAGAAGAAUGUACCGAUUUGUUCGAAUCCGACAGAUAAUUCAGCCCUCCGCAAUUGCCAGAACCCUGCGACUCCGGUGAAUGACAAUUCAAAACCUUUGCAUCACUCAAACCUUUCUUGUCAUUGCUAGACUCCCGAGAAACAUCAUGGUUGGAUCCAUUGGACUCCGGAGAUGGCACAUUCAAAUACCCGGAGACAUCAGUAGAAAUCUGGGGCAACGACGGCGACACUUCAUUCGAAAGUCUCGAGCUGCUGGAACGCUGAACAAUCUCCGGCGAUGACGUGUCCAUAACCAUCACAC